CGGUAAACAGAGGGAAGCGAGCCCGCGAGGGGGAGCAAAUCCCAAAAAUAACGUCCCAGUUCGGAUUGUAGUCUGCAACCCGACUACAUGAAGCUGGAAUCGCUAGUAAUCGCGGAUCAGAAUGCCGCGGUGAAUACGUUCCCGGGUCUUGUACACACCGCCCGUCACACCAUGGGAGUCGGAAAUGCCCGAAGUCUGUGACCCAACCGCGAGGAGGGAGCAGCCGAAGGCAGGUCGGAUGACUGGGGUGAAGUCGUAACAAGGUAGC
rnacentral:rRNA from 1 species